GUAUAUUUCAUUGGCGAGUGUGUGCGUGCGUGUGCUGUGGCAGCGGCUUUUUUGGCUGCGCUCGGCGUGUGUGCUGUGUGUGCUUGCUGGUGCCCUGUGCUGCGGUGGGACGUCAAGGUCAGUUCGUAUGCUGCGGGAAAUGGCCGCCGAGGAGGUAGGGCUUACGCUUGCGUUUGUCUAUUAUAUCUUGGUGGACGAGUAGUCGCGGUUGGGACUGAGGUGCCUACAACGUGUUUUUGAGUGGGCCUGUGUCUCUGUGUGCGCCGUGUGCGGAUAGCUUGCUAUGCGUGUGUGGUUGUGUGUGGAUUGAUGUGGGUUUUAACUUGUUGCCGUUCGGGACGUUGACGAAAUGGAGCGAUUUGACCCGUCUUGAAACACGGACCAAGGAGUCUAACAUGUGUGCAAGUGUUAGGGUGUGGAAACCCCAGCGCGAAAUGAAAGUGAAGGGCAGCGUAAGUUGUCUGAGGU